rnacentral:rRNA from 1 species
UACGGAGGGUGCAAGCGUUGUUCGGAAUUACUGGGCGUAAAGGGCGCGUAGGUGGUUCGGUAUGUCAGAUGUGAAAUCCCGAGGCUCAACCUCGGAACGGCAUCUGAAACUGCCGGACUGGAGUACAGAAGAGGGAAACGGAAUUCCCGGUGUAGAGGUGAAAUUCGUAGAUAUCGGGAGGAACACCGGUGGCGAAGGCGGUUUCCUGGUCUGAUACUGACACUGAGGCGCGAAAGCGUGGGGAGCAAAC